GGAUGUGAGGGCGAUCUGGCUGCGACAUCUGUCACCCCACUGAUCGCCAGGGUUGACUCGGCUGAUGUGGCUGGCUAGGCGGCGUCCCCGUCCUCCCUCGCCGCUCCAUGUGCGUCCCUCCCGAAGCUGACCAUCCCCGAUAGAGGAGGACCGGUCUUCGGUCACGGGUAUACGAGUAGCUGCGCUCCCCUGCUAGAACCUCCAAACAAGCUCUCAAGAAGAGAGCAGCAGGGGCUGAGAAUGUCUUAGUGGUAGAGUGCUUGCCUAGCAUGCAUGAAGU
ensembl:misc_RNA 7SK 7SK RNA